rnacentral:tRNA from 1 species
GGAGAGGUGCCAGAGCCCGGUUGAAUGGGGCAGUCUCGAAAACUGCUAUACGCUUUUGCGUAUCGGGAGUUCGAAUCUCCCCCUCUCCG